CCCUUAGAUGUUCUGGGCCGCACACGCGCUACACUGAAGGAGGCAGCGUGUACUCCUGGAUCGAAAGAUUUGGGUAACCCGCGAAUCUCCUUCGUGCUGGGGAUUGAGGUUUGCAAUUAUCCUUCAUGAACGAGGAAUUCCCAGUAAGUGCAAGUCAUAAGCUUGCGCUGACUACGUCCCUGCCCUUUGUACACACCGCCCGUCGCUACUACCGAUUGAAUGAUUUAGUGAGGACUUCGGACUGGGACCGAUGCGGCUUUCGGGCUGCGUCGGUAUUCUGGAAAGAUGUCCAAACUGUNUNAUUUAUNGGAAGUAAAANUCGUANCA
rnacentral:rRNA from 1 species